rnacentral:lncRNA from 1 species
CAGGAGUUACUGUGGACACAGCAUUCAGGUGUAGGGUAUUAGUGCUAGUUCUGCUAUGGAAACAAACUCUAUGCCAUCUGAUGUUUCUGAUUCAGAAGAACCUCUGUGUUUGUUUGUCUGUCUUCCUCGAACACUCACAAUCAGGCGUCCACAUCUGUUUGUUAGUUUUUUUCUUUCAUACAGUUUGAUUCAUUUGGGACAUUUUUGUUCCUAGCAUAAGAAAGGUGUGGCUCUACAGUCAGUUUCGGCAAAUUGAAAUCUGUGCUGAAAGCUUCUGGAAAUGGUGGCGCUGCUUUACUUCCCUCCCUCCUGCAGCUGCCUCCUCCUACGGCCUCCCUGGGGAGGAUGAGGUUGCUCGUGGCUACGUAGCCAUCUCUGUCAGGGAACAGGCUGAAAAUUAAUGCAUGGCUCAGAUCUCAGGUGGAUCAGGGCUGGGUUUUUUUGAUCUGGGUAACUCCGGUUGCAUGAGAACUAGUGAUAAAAUGAGAGGAGAAGGGAGAACCUACGACCAAAGUGAGGAAGGAGAGAAGGGUGAAGAGAGUGGGCCGGUACAGUCCAUAAAUAGGUUUGCUUAAUGAAACUGCUCAUAGGAGUCCUCUUGCUAAACUGAGAGGUGAACUGUGUUUUUGGUGUUACAGAAGACCAAACAUCAGAAAAUUCCUUUUUUUUUUUUCUUUUUUACUUUAUUUACUUAUUUACUUUCUGAGUAAUAUACUGAGGAUUUGAAGCAGAGCCAUCAUACACGAAAAAUAAGGAAAAGUGGGUAAUAAUGGUAAUAGCAAGAUAGUUCACAGAGAUGUAGGCAGUACUCCCUAGUCAGUGUCUUUCCAUUAAACAUUAUUUGAGGGACAAAUGUUAAGAAUACACCUAGACCAAAAAUGAUCAAAAAUGUCUCGAAGUCUGGCUGGGAUGAAAACUCACAGAAAUAAAUUUACCAUUUUCCUUUUUUUUUACUCCUUCCAUCACUCUUCCCGCAAUUCCUACCUACCCAGUAGGGCUCAUGAAACCUGUGGUGCUGGAAACGGAGUGAUUCCAUGGAGUUAUGUCAGCAUGUGAGUUGGGAAGGGAGCAGGGGGACUGAGGGGAAGGGGGGGAGAAUGGAGGAACAGAUGGAUCCUAGAUUAUGCCGCAGCUGAGAUUGAAAUAAAAUUUCACCUUAAAAUGGGGUGGCUGCUGCUUCCAUGAAACUCUUGGGGAUAAUUCAUCUGCCACUUGGUAUAUUGGCAGGGUUUCUUUCCAGGUUCUAUCCUCUAUUCUCCUUCAUGCUUUGUACGUGUAUACAUGUGUGUGAGCUGUGUGUAUGUAAUUUUCAAGAUGCCUGGCCCCUUUUUUCUCCUUGGCUAACUUCUGAAAUAGAGCUGUCAGGAUGAUUCCAGUGUUUGGAGCCAUAUUAUUUCUGACAGAAUAUAGCUCUUCUCCUCAGUUUUUUUUUUUUUUUUAUGGCCUGCAGUCAAUGGGAAUAUUCAAUGCAACCUAAGGUCAGGUUGUUGAAUUUUAACACAAUUUCCCAUGAGAACUAAAAGGAUGAAAAUUCCUUUAAGACUGGGAACGAAAAGUGGAUCUUUAGCUGCCACAGCAACAUAAGGAGUAAAGGCUUGUUAUGUGGCUAUAAAAACAACUCAAAGAGGGUUCAGAUAUAGGGGGAUGUACUUCAUUUAAUUUGUCUAGGAAUUUAACACAAGUCACUGCGUUAUCGGUACAAAAGGGUUACGCUCUCAUAGCAACUGACCAUUCUAACAGUCCUGAACUUCAGUAGAUCAGCUGUAGGAAGGUAUGUCAACUUAAAUAAUUUCACAAAUGUGUUGAAAUAAAACACACACAGUCAGAUGAAUCUAUAUGACAUAGAAGGAUACUAAAUCAUUAUGAUGGACCAUAUUUGAAUACAACUACCAUUUUUUGGAUGAGUCUUUUAAAAUACAGAAAAAAAAACAGGACAUGUAUGAGAUGGACAGAUUUGGCUAGUUCCUUUCUAGCUGAUGCAGUUUCUCAAGAUGCAGGAGUUAUAAACAGUCAAGGAAAAUGUCAGUGAAGAAUUUCAUAAUCCUGAGAAGAUGAGGUAAUGCUCAUUUAUUUCCUUCAAGGGAAGAGGCUUCAUGCCUGUGCCCACCCCCACAGAGGGGAAAUUCACAAGGAACUAGUUUUUAUUCAGGCAAAAUUUCCUGUAGAGUAAGCGGAAGUUUUAAAGCUCUGUAAAUUUGAUUGAACUUUGAAACGACUGAGUUGUAUUCUAUGUUUUCCUGCUGUCAGAAGUCUUGUUGUUUGUAUUAGUGAUGAGAAUGAAGGUACUACUAUCUGUAGAUGGAAUCAUCACUUCUGUAUAGCUUCGGAUAUGCUAAAAAUGCCUUGGACUUCAGUGUUGAUACAGCUGCAUGCUGAUCAAUGAAGAGACAAAAUACUAAAUUUAGAGCAGGGAGUUUUACUAUAUAUGUUCCAUUAAAAAAGGCAAAAUGGGCUUUAUUCAUGUAAUAUAUUAAGCACUUUUACUUCCCCAAAUGACAGAUGUCAAAUUGUGUUGCCAUCCUUACUCACGGCUUCAAAGAGAGACAUUUUCCCAUUUUUCUAAGUUUGGUGAAAAUAAGAAUCCUGUUUUAUCAAUGGCUUAAAAAACUGUUUUUAUAUGGAAACAUUGGGUAAGGGUUAUAUUUUAAGUAGAGCAUAGCACUGAAGGGUGUAAGAUAAACCUCACAGUUACACUUGCUAUGGAGUUAAAAAAAAAAAGUCACUGUCUGGCCCAUAGCAGGGUGAACAAGGAAAGAUCCAGCUUUCUGAGUGAUGACCAGGCCAAUUACAUCUAGGCAUUUUAUGGAAAAUCUGCUCUAUGGGAUGAUAUUUGUGAUAUCGAAAGUGCCUCUGUAGAUUUUACCCGUACUUAAUUUUUUUUCAGUCUUUCCAUAACAAUAUCGAUUAUUUCACAUUCUGUUUUCAGUCUGCUUCACAUUCCCUUGUCUUCAUUCUCCUUCCCUCUCCCCCUCCUUCACACCCUUUCUCACUUUUUCAUAUCUUCUCAGAGCUGUUAGAAAAAAAGGCCGCCUUUCUGUGUGCUAUGUUUUUGAGCUUUAGCAAUUUUCCAUUUCACUUCUUUCUCGUAAUACUUUUUCCACUUAAUAUUUGGGGAGAAAAAUCGUUUUAUUUGAAGGCAAGCCAGAUACACCAUCACAAUGUUUUGGGCCAAGUUAGUAUUCUCAACUAUAGAGUUUACUUACAGUUUCCUGUGUCUUCCAUUUGACUGUUAUUAAAGAAGUAGGAGGGAAAUAAAAAAGUCUUACUUUUACCGUUGACAGCAAGUGUAUGGUACAGCUGUAACUGUCACUGCUCCCUAGUUUGGUGUGCAGCAGCCUGAAAGCUCUGCAGGUUGCUUACACGGCACUGUUCUCAUGACAGCACACGUUGUAUGGUGGAAGUCAUUGGUCUAGAAGCGUAGUAGGGAUGUUUUGGGGGAAGAUGUAAUCUGUAUGAACCCUAACGAAGGAAAUAAAUUGAUGUACUGCAAAAAGAGAACAUAAGGUUUGUUUGGUGUUGUGUGGGCACAUGUGGUUAUCCAAGAUGGUUAGGAGGUAGAAUAUAAGUGAUUUUAAUUAGUAUUUGGAGGUUUUGAGAUCAAGAAACCUUUACCAAUGCAGUGCGCUCAGUGCCGUAGAAGCUAUCUUUCAGAGUAAUGAAGACUGAAGAAAACAAUUGGCUUCAUGGCACACAGUAGCCUGGCUUGCUUACUUAUUUGGAUUUACAACCUGGAAUGAAAAUAAAAGGAAGGCUGUGUAGAACGGAAGGCAAAAAAAGAAUUACCUUCAACAAAACUGGAAUGAAACUCCUAUAAAUUUUGCCCAGUCUAUUGUCUCAUCUGCCAGGUUUUUUCAUCUUGUGCCAGGUUCUCUCUCUAGAUGCUGGUUAAUUUUUCCAUACAUCAAAUGCUUCACACCUGAGUAGAUUGGCUUUUGCACUGUGAGAAGAACGGGAUAUCACUAACCCACUGUGACUAGAAGCCAGACUGUCUUUUGGAAACAUCGCCUCAGUUUGGAGGCUCUCCUAGGGACACUUUGUGGAGGGUAAUCAAUUUACAUCAGGACAUGAGUUGGGCCUCUCUCUUGUGACCAUAAUAAUAUAAUUAAAAAUCAUCCUCAAGAAUCUUACUGUGUACUUUCACCAGCUGUGCCUGACUCAUUUCAUUCAUUUGAUGGCAGUGGUUUUGCCCAUCUUGGAUGGUCUCCAGUGAGUUCUUGCAUUUGGGAACAUGUUGUCUUCUGUUUUAUGUGGCCAACCAAAAUCUGUCCACAGACAUCCUCGUUCACUCUCCAUACACUGUUACAUUCAUCAGAUCUGCUUUAUCAUGAAUCA